AACCUUCUGGUUCUGUUAAGAAUGAUGACUGGUGGGGACAUGCCCCAUGCAUGAGACAUGCCGCCGGCUUGUUACGCUAGGCAUGUGUACCUUCUGACU
rnacentral:snoRNA from 1 species